rnacentral:rRNA from 1 species
AAGGGCACCACAAGAACGCGUGGAGCAUGUGGCUUAAUUUGACUCAACGCGGGAAAUCUUACCGGGUCCGGACACACUGAGGAUUGACAGGCGCAUGUAACUUUUUUUUUUUUUCUAAAAAAAAAAAAAAGUUGCUAUAAAUAUGCUAGUCCUUUCAUGAUUGUGUGAUAGGUGGUGCAUGGCCGUUCUUAGUUCGUGGAGUGAUCUGUCUGCUUAAUUGCGCUUCAGAAGAUAGGUUCUUAGAGGUUUUGUUGUACGGCGUGACCAUAGUUUCGGCUAUGUUGUCCCUGUACACAGCCCUUGAACCUUGAAGGUAACGAACGUGACCGCAACCUCUUGUUGCCUUUCUUUCAUCUUUCGAUGAACUACUGCCUCGUGAUUUUUUCUGUUAUUUUUUUUCUUUUCUUUUUUUUAUUUUUUUUCGAAAAAAUAAAAAAAAGAAAGUUAAAAGGUGCAGAAGUCAUGGGGACUAGUAGAGCGGAGCGCAAACUAGAGGGACCGCCGACCUUUUUAAAACGGAGGAAGGUUGCGGCAAUAACAGGUCUGUGAUGCCCUUAGAUGUUCCGGGCUGCACACGUGCUACAAUGAUUGUUGCAGUGAGCAUCUUAAAAGUUCGUUUGUUUCAUUUUUUUUUUUUAAAUUUUCGGAUUUGAAAAAAAAAAAAAAGCAUACGACAUACCUACUUCGAAAGUAAGUAGGUAAUCAAUUCGAAGUAACGAUUUCCUUUGCACUGUUAAAUAUUUCAAAAAAAUAUGUAUUUGUUUCUACAAAUAUAUAUUUUUUUUGAAAUGUGCUCCAUUUAAUUCAUGGUGGGGACAGACCAUUGAAAUUGUUGGUCUCGGUCUUAACUAGGAAUGCCUUGUACGGGUCAUGGUUCAACAGAUCACCCGGAAUAUGUCCCUGCCCUUUGUACACACCGCCCGUCGCUCUUACCGAUGGACUUCUCUGUGAGUUUGAGGGACUGGCUUUUUUGCUAUGGAAACUCAAACAAACAGUGUGGUCUAAAGGAAAGAGAAGUCGAACAAGGCA